CAUUUUCAUCACCCCAUAAUCAUCAUCAAAAUAUAUACACUAUUAAUACCUGAAACUUUAGACAUAUUGGUUUGUUUGGAAGAAAGUAGCAUGAGAAUCACAUUUGUAAGCUAAAAUCCAAACCAAAAUAACAAGAAUAUAGACUAGGAAUAAAGAGAUUAUCUUGAUAUGAAGCACUUCAUUAAGAGGCUUAUGAAUGCUACAGCUGAGAACAGGGGGCAUGCUAAUAAACAAUCGAAUUGCAUGAACCAAACCUUAAUUUCAUGCACC
rnacentral:lncRNA from 1 species